rnacentral:rRNA from 1 species
AUUGAACGCUGGCGGCAUGCCUUACAUAUGCAAGUCGAACGGUAACGCGGGGCAACCUGGCGACGAGUGGCGAACGGGUGGGUAAUGUAUCGGAACGUGCCCAGUUGUGGGGGAUAACUGCUCGAAAGAGCAGCUAAUACCGCAUACGACCUGAGGGUGAAAGCGGGGGAUCGCAAGACCUCGCGCAAUUGGAGCGGCCGAUAUCGGAUUAGGUAGUUGGUGGGGUAAAGGCUCACCAAGCCAACGAUCUGUAGCUGGUCUGAGAGGACGACCGCCCACAUAGGGACUGAGACAGGGCCCAGGCUCCUACGGGGGGCGGCAGUGGGCAAUUUUGGACAAUGGGCGCAAGCCUGCUCCGGCCAUGCCGCGGGCGGGAAGAAGGCCUUCGGGUGGUAAACCGUUUUUGUCAGGGAAGAAAAGACUCCUGUUAAUACCGGGGGUUCAUGACGGUACCUGAAGAAUAAGCACCGGCUAACUACGUGCCAGCAGCCGCCGUAACAC